rnacentral:lncRNA from 10 species
GCUACCGGGACUGUUGAGCCACUUGCUGGGGCUUCUCCCGUUCUGUGGAGUGUACUUUCGCUCCUAUUGCCUUCCGCUUCAGUAAAUCUAGGCUUUCAUUGCUUGCUCGCGGGUGCUGUUCAAUUCUUUGUUCAACGCACCAAGAACCAGGACAACUCAUGAUUAGAACCUUCCACUCGGUACCAGCAGUGUGAAGCCUUUCCCAACACCGGGACUAUGGUAGUUCUGGGACCAGUCAGAGUUAAACCCAGGACACUUUCUGGAAGAGACCUGGAGUUGUCAAAGAGCAGGGAUUGGAUGGUUCCAGAGUUUUAGGGACCUGACCAGGCCUGAGAUUUCUGGGAUGGCAAGUCCACAGAUUUACAACUUGAGGUGGCCUGCACCAGACCCACGGGGCAAUAACAGUCUUCCAUUGAAUUCUUUAGCAGUUUCUACAAUUGCAUAAGGAUUCUACGUGUUUUAAGAGUUGGUCCUACCUUUCUUCUCGAUCCACUUGAUCACAAAGCAACCUUUCUAGAACAUCGUUUUCGCCAUCACAAGACAGUUGGUUCCAGAUGUUAACAAGAUCAACCUUGCUGGGAAAUGAACAAGCGACCAGGACUGCGUGCAAUUCUACUUGGAGAUCUUCAUAACACCUUAAGGGAAAAAUCCUUUUUGAAAGAAAAACAAGUCUGGGUGGUGCUUGAAAAUUCAGAAGGCAGCUAGAAACUCUGCCAAUUACAACUGGUGAUUGCUGAGUUCUGGAGACAGACUGGGCUUCUGCUUUCUUUUGGUGGAGGUGUCUGCUUGCAGAAAAUUUAUGUUCUGGGAUUUACAACUUCAGGGAGACAAAGGAAACUCCAGCUCAUCUCCCACAUCAUUGAUUGAGAGGACCAUUUUCUGACUGUCUGCACACGUUUCCUAUACUACCCUUUAAUGCAACAAUGGGAUGAAGAGAUGAAGACUUCUAGCAGGCUACCUCAGAAAGGUUGCUGACCAAAGGCUGUAUGGACCAAAAAGUCAUAACACCACCCUGGAUGAAAGGACAUUUACCUAAGGAAUUACCCGCUCUCAAUUCUUCCCAGGUGCAUGUAGUAUAGAUUAAAUAAGGUGGUUGUAUGGCAACAGAGACAUUAUUAGAAACAUUCUUCUUGAAGUUUGACAACAAAGCAGUAGAUGUGUAUCUACUACAGAGUUGUUAGUGAAAAAAG